rnacentral:rRNA from 1 species
UUUUCCUACGGGGCGCAGCAGUGAGGAAUAUUGGUCAAUGGGCUUACGCCUGAACCAGCCAAGUCGCGUGAGGGAAGACUGCCCUAUGGGUUGUAAACCUCUUUUGUCAGGGAGCAACGCCGGCUACGUGUAGCCGGACUGAGAGUACCUGAAGAAAAAGCAUCGGCUAACUCCGUGCCAGCAGCCGCGGUAAUACGGAGGAUUCAAGCGUUAUCCGGAUUUAUUGGGUUUAAAGGGUGCGUAGGCGGUCGGAUAAGUUAGAGGUGAAAUCCCGAGGCUCAACUUCGGAAUUGCCUCUG